rnacentral:lncRNA from 1 species
GGAAUAGCUUGCAGCCAUAAUAACCUGUUUUCAGUAAGUUCUUGUUUUCUGAAUUUUUAAAAAUAGCAAUGAGACUUGUAUAGAUGCUUUUCUGAACAUGAAAUCAAAAUUGAAAUCUCUAACAUAUAACUUUGAGUAAGCCUGUAUGGGCAGAAAAGCAAUAAUGUUACUUUUCACAAUUGGAAAGUGGAGGUUGCUAAAGAAUAUGACUUUUCUGUACAUUAGAGAAAAUUUUAUAAAAGGAUACAAUGGAUUCAGGAUGAAUUUGUCAAUCUUUGUCCUUCAUUGUUCAAUAUUUUAAUUGUCACUGUGAAUAACAUUUGUCACAAAGCAGAUAAAAUAAGAAAUGUUGACACUUCUAAAGGUUGCCUUAAAAUAUAUUUGUUUUUGGCUUAGUUCUGAAGAGAACAAAAUAUAAAUAGUCUAAAUAUUUAUCAGGAGGUUAAUACCAGCAUGUUGGAGGCCUUUAUGCUAGUAAAAUGGCUUUCAGGGCACUGUAAAGCCUGCAUUGAGCUUAGCCAUUUGUUUCAAACCUUGAUGUGCUAUUUUACGUCAAUAAAGUAUGUUGUUUUUAUACAUAUGAAUUAUACAUAGAUCAUAAACUAUAUAUGCAUUGUAUAUAGCUUCAGUUGGACUGCAGUACAGGGUUGUUUUAUCUCAUUCAGUUCUUCUUUUAAAAUAAUAUGUUCAUCAUAAUUCCAUGAAGUGGUAGAAGGCUUGUAUAUUAUAACUGUUCUUAUAUCUCAUAUUCUUUAUCUUUCUAAGUGUAUCACUAAAUGAAACAAUAAUAAACAUGGUUGUCUGGAUCUGUUUAAUAG